rnacentral:rRNA from 1 species
UACAGAGGGGGCAAGCGUUUGUUCGGAAUUACUGGGCGUAAAGGGCGCGUAGGCGGCCUGUUAAGUCGAACGUGAAAUCCCUGGGCUCAACCCAGGAACUGCGUCCGAUACUGGCAGGCUUGAAUUCGGGAGAGGGAUGCGGAAUUCCAGGUGUAGCGGUGAAAUGCGUAGAUAUCUGGAGGAACACCGGUGGCGAAGGCGGCAUCCUGGACCGAUAUUGACGCUGAGGCGCGAAAGCCAGGGGAGCAAACGGG